CAAGCUCAUUUUUUACUUCUUCAUGACUAUACUCGGACUCAUUCUCACUGUCAUCUAAAUCAUCAGCGUAACCCUGGCGAUAAGGGGAAUAAACUUCAUCAUCUAGAGGGACAAGCUUCAAGGUAAGACGGCCAUUGCAUCUGUGAGCCUGGAAGUACUCAUGAUGCUUCACCCUCUCUUCUCUAAUAAUCAAUCUUCCAUCCUCUGUGUAGUGUCGCCUCAAAACCCAAGGCAUAUGGGAAGAUAAGUUCCCAGUGCGUGCGAGCGAUGGCAUUGGUGGUGGAAACUCCUUCAUUGCACACCUUUGAUCCCUCUUGCUACGUCUUUGACUGAAACCCUGACUAUUUUCCACCUUUGAUGAUGAUGUGAAAAUAUCAUAAUUGUUUUUCAGAUCAAGACAACUCUCAACGCCAAUGUAGUCCCCAAUGAGGGCAGAACAAGGUGGAGGCGAAGUGAAAGACCCCAUAAUGCUUGAAGUUGCACUAAAUCUACCACCGUCAGAAAGUUUUUCUUCUUGUGAUGACAGGCUCACAAGACACUGAUCAAUCUUGUGGGUCUGUGUUGAUGUUGCUGAGUUUUGGAUCUUGACGUCAAGAUUAGGUUCCAUAUGUGAAUUGGAGAUAUUCACAAUAUGCUGCCAUUAUAAACUCACCAGAGAAAUUAAGGAAAGGAGAAUAGGUGAAGGAUGAGGAUGAGGAGGAGGAGAUGGGGUUGGUCAGUGCAGGCACAUCUCCUCUCUCUCAUAGGCGUUUCCACCUAGAGGAGACUUGAGAAUAAGAAGAUGAGCA
rnacentral:misc_RNA from 1 species